rnacentral:lncRNA from 1 species
GAUUGGGCUACAGGCCUAUCUGUGAGUGAAGAAGACGCCAUGGAUGGCGUCGGGUGUGUUAUGGGUUUCAAACUAGAAGCCUAUGGCUCUGGCAUAUGGUCUCACGGCUCACCCAGGCCUGUAGCCUAUGCGGCCGAGGUCAUAGGUUUCAAAGAACCCUAGUGUUUUUCGAUUUCUUUUUUUUUCUUUUUUUUUUCAAUUAAUUCAAAGCAUAUAUAAUUUGAAGGAAUGAACAUAUAUUUGAUGCAAUUCAUGGCAAUAUCAAAUUCACAUAAUUCAACAAUUAUGCAUAUAAUGCAUACACAAUUUAUGUAGAGGAAUGUGUGUGUUAUUCCCCCUACGUAGUGCCUUUAUUUAUAGUAAUAAGAGGGAGAAUAAAUCCUUCAUCCCCAAGGAAUACAAGUUCAUAUAGGAAAGAAUAACUAGAAUAAAAUCUAAUCUAGGAUUUACACAAUCACACUUAAACUAGGAAAGUUUACAACAUCAAUUAGAUAAUAGUCUCUCAACUAAAAAUCAGUAACCAUUGAUCCACUAACUCAUCAAAACGUGCAGCUAUAGCCCUUUUCAUCAACUUCGUCAGACUUCUGUCAAAAUAAGUCAUGUUGAAAGAACCAUUGCUACAAGUAGAUUAACGUUAAGGGACCAUUGCUCCAAUUGGGUUAAAGUUGAGGAAUCACUUAUACAAUUUUUCUCAUAUAGUUUUUCAUAUUUGCCCUUGAUUCAGCCUCACGUGCCACAUCAUUGCUACAACAAUUUUUCUCAUAUAGUUUUUCAUAUUUUCCCUUGAUUUAGCCUCACGUGCGUGGCACGUGAUUCAUUUUGACAUAAUUUUGUUGAAGUUGAUGAAAAGGGCUAUAGCUGCACGUUUUGAUGAGUAAAGGGACCAAUAGUCAUGAGUUUUAAUUGAGGGACCAUUACUCCAAUUGGAUUAAAAUUGAUGGACAAUUGUUAUAAUUUUCUCUUUAAAGAAAGAAGAAAAAAAAAAGAACAAAGGAUAUGGACGGUCUUCUUCCCCUCCGACCCAACCCCCUCUGUCCCCGACGUCUUCCCAGCCAUUCUUUCUUCCCCAAAACCCAGCCUUCGUUCUUCCCUAAACCCAACUUUUCUUCUUCCCCAAGCCCCAACUUCAACGAUUUCUUUGUUUAAUUAUUUUAGAGAAUUAAUGAGAGAAAAAGGAUGAUCCCCAAACCUCAUGUUACCUUGCCUUCUUCCCCAAAACCCAACCUUCCUUUUUCCCCUGGCUUGAGGUUCUUUGUUUAUGGCUAUCAAUUUUUCUACGCCAGAUUGCGAAAUCCAAAAAACCUUCAAUACGGUUCUGAACAAUUGAUAGUUAACAUUACUCUUUCCGAAUCUAAUAUUAAUUGAGAGUUGUAGAGAGAGAAAAAUAUAUGUCGGGGAAGAAAGGGAAGGGCGACAGGCUGUAGAAUUUUAUUUUAUUUUCUAUUUUUUUAACUUUUAUUUUGUAAGAGUAAAACAUAUGUUUAGUCCAACUGUAAAUAUAUUGUACAUAUGGCAUAUUUUAGGUGGAAGUAUCCCUUUGACGUGGUGACGCAGUAUCAUUGCAUAAUUUCUCCUCAAACGAAGAGGGCUAAAGGUCUAAAAGUAAAAAAAUAGUCUGAUUUGUUCAAAAACUCAUUAUCAACUGAUAGCUAGGCUAUAAUUAUAUGGAGCUUACCAGGUUAUUAUUUGGCCAAAGAGACAUCAGGCUAGC